CCCGAUAGGGUCUCGAUUGCUGGGAAUGCAUCGAGAUUUAAAGCUCCCGGCGCCUAAGGAUGGGUCUGCGGCCUAUCAGGUAGUAGUGGGUGUAGCGUACAUACUAGCCUACGACGGGUACGGGUUGUGAGAGCAAGAGCCCGGAGAUGGAUUCUGAGACACGAAUCCAGGCCCUACGGGGUGCAGCAGGCGCGAAAACUUUACAAUGCUGGCAACAGCGAUAAGGGAACCUCGAGUGCCAGGUUACAAAUCUGGCUGUCGAGAUGCCUAAAAAGCAUUUCAUAGCAAGGGCCGGGCAAGACCGGUGCCAGCCGCCGCGGUAACACCGGCGGCUCGAGUGGUAACCGUUAUUAUUGGGUCUAAAGGGUCUGUAGCCGGCCGGAUAAGUCUCUUGAGAAAUCUGGCAGCUUAACUGUCAGGCUUUCAGGAGAUACUGUCUGGCUCGAGGCCGGGAGAGGUGAGAGGUACUUCAGGGGUAGGGGUGAAAUCUUGUAAUCCUUGAAGGACCACCAGUGGCGAAGGCGUCUCACCAGAACGGACCUGACGGCAAGGGACGAAAGCUAGGGGCACGAACCGGAUUAGAUACCCGGGUAGUCCUAGCCGUAAACGAUACUCGCUAGGUGUCGGCCACGGUGCGACCGUUGUCGGUGCCGUAGGGAAGCCGUGAAGCGAGCCACCUGGGAAGUACGGCCGCAAGGCUGAAACUUAAAGGAAUUGGCGGGGGAGCACCACAACGGGUGGAGCUUGCGGUUUAAUUGGAUUCAACGCCGGGA
rnacentral:rRNA from 1 species